rnacentral:rRNA from 1 species
GCUCUUUCGGCAGGAACGAAACGGCGCGCUCUAACAUAGCGCGUUAAUGACGGUACCUGAAGAAGAAGCACCGGCUAACUACGUGCCAGCAGCCGCGGUAAUACGUAGGGUGCGAGCGUUAAUCGGAAUUACUGGGCGUAAAGCGUGCGCAGGCGGUUGUGUAAGACAGGUGUGAAAUCCCCGGGCUUAACCUGGGAACUGCGCUUGUGACUGCACGGCUAGAGUAUGGCAGAGGGGGGUGGAAUUCCACGUGUAGCAGUGAAAUGCGUAGAGAUGUGGAGGAACACCGAUGGCGAAGGCAGCCCCCUGGGCCAAUACUGACGCUCAUGCACGAAAGCGUGGGGAGCAAACAGGAUUAGAUACCCUGGUAGUCCACGCCCUAAACGAUGUCGACUAGGUGUUCGGUGAGGAGACUCAUUGAGUACCGCAGCUAACGCGUGAAGUCGACCGCCUGGGGAGUACGGUCGCAAGAUUAAAACUCAAAGGAAUUGACGG